rnacentral:rRNA from 1 species
CACGUAGGGCGCAAGCGUUUGUCCGGAAUUAUUGGGCGUAAAGAGCUCGUAGGCGGUCUGUUGCGUCCGCUGUGAAAACUCGGGGCUUAACCCCGAGCCUGCAGUGGAUACGGGCAGACUAGAGGUAGGUAGGGGAGAAUGGAAUUCCCGGUGUAGCGGUGAAAUGCGCAGAUAUCGGGAGGAACACCGGUGGCGAAGGCGGCUCUCUGGGACGGUACUGACGCUGAGACGCGAAAGCGUGGGGAGCGAACAGG